rnacentral:rRNA from 1 species
ACAUACGACCAUAGACUCAAGAGAAUUGGGCAUCCCGUCCGCUCUGCCAUACACAAGCUUGAGAUCGGUGGAUUAGUAGUUGGGUGGGUGACCACUCGGUGUACACAAGCUUGAGAUCGGUGGAUUAGUAGUUGGGUGGGUGACCACCAGCGAAUACCCACUGUUGUAUGUU